UCAUAAGUUCAUGGUUCGACACCAUGGAUCUCCAGGUGGGUCAAGGUUAUAGAGAUACACCAACCUGGAGGACUCCAUGCUGUUGAGCUGUUCAUAA
rnacentral:pre_miRNA from 1 species